GGUAGCGUGGCCGAGUGGUAUAAGGCAGUGGGUUUAAGCUCCAGUCUUUAUCGAGUUGUGGGUUCGAAUCCCACCGCUACCA